UGGGGAAUUUUGGACAAUGGGGGCAACCCUGAUCCAGCCAUGCCGCGUGAGUGAAGAAGGCCUUCGGGUUGUAAAGCUCUUUCGGCCGGAACGAAAUCGCGUACGUGAAUAACGUGCGUGGAUGACGGUACUGGAAGAAGAAGCACCGGCUAACUACGUGCCAGCAGCCGCGGUAAUACGUAGGGUGCGAGCGUUAAUCGGAAUUACUGGGCGUAAAGCGUGCGCAGGCGGUUCUGCAAGUCAGAUGUGAAAUCCCCGGGCUUAACCUGGGUACUGCGUUUGAAACUACGGAGCUAGAGUACGGCAGAGGGGGGUGGAAUUCCACGUGUAGCAGUGAAAUGCGUAGAUAUGUGGAGGAACACCGAUGGCGAAGGCAGCCCCCUGGGCCGAUACUGACGCUCAGGCACGAAAGCGUGGGGAGCAAACAGGAUUAGAUACCCUGGUAGUCCACGCCCUAAACUAUGUCAACUAGUUGUCGGGGAAGCAAUUCCUUGGUAACGAAGCUAACGCGUGAAGUUGACCGCCUGGGGAGUACGGUCGCAAGAUUA
rnacentral:rRNA from 1 species